GGCUCUGUAGUGAAAUUCAUGACGGGUUGCAAGCUCGUUGAUGCGCAUUGACCAUGUGCCAGGGUCU
rnacentral:tRNA from 1 species